UAGAAUAAGUUUUUAGAAAUGUAGUUGAUUCCCUGAACCGGUGAUGAAAACUGUGAUGCGCUAAAAAUUGAUUUCCCUGAAUUGCUUAUUGAUUUCAUAUUUUGUGAAGUGACUGCCCAUUGUUCACAGAACUUUGAAGAAUUCUUACCUUUUCUGUGAGGGCUGAUCUGUGGGCUGUGAUGCAGGACUGAAAAUUUGAUACAGCGACGUUUUAAGGGAGACAGUGUCUCACAUUUCAGAGAAGGAAGACUCCAGGUACCAAAGCUACUGAGGCUGAGUAUAUGUUACCGAAGUGCAGAGGCAAAAUAAGCAUUGAGCGCAGUGUGGUGUGACCAGACUAUCCAAGAAUGAGGGAUCUUCAUGCAACAGAACUCAUCUUCCUAUGUCACCUUCAGGCAUCCUCACUGCAGCACAUGGAUCAGCCUCGCCGAGAGACUCUCUUGCAUCAGACCCAGCUUAAAAUUGCGUUCCAGUAUAAGCUACUUCUGUGGAGUGGGAUGGCUCUUGAUGUCUGUGCAGGAAGACCUAUGUAGAAUAAUGGUACAAAUCCAUUGUUCUCAUCUCCCUGGGAAAAUGACAUUGUUGCAAAAGACUGUGAAUUUACCAUGAAAUUGACAUUGUACAUGAACUGAAUAAAAACUUUUAUUCAAAAUAAAAUUAUUUUGCAUGUGUUUUCAAAAUCUUUACAAAUACUAUUGUGAUGAAUAAAAAAUAGAUGGGGCAAGACAAAAGAAACUAGAUAAGGGUCUUCCCACCCAUCCAGGUACUGUGCCUCCUUCUCAAAUUGCUUGACUGAGUUUGGCCAGGUCCCAGGGCUCAUGACAGUGCCUUGUGAGGGCCCUUCAGCCUCCACAUCUGGCCUCAUAAUAUAGCCUUUGCUUUCUCAUUGAGGAAGGUAAGGAGAAAAGGAUGGCCAAGGGGUGAGGAUGGGUGUUACAAAGGCUACAGCCUAAUUGACAUCUAUGGAGGAGAGAGCUUUCCUAGGUCUGAUGAGCAGGAAGAUGGUGCUACUGAAGACAAUAAAGAUCAUUGUGCAGUGUGAUCCACAUGUGGAGAAAGCUUUCUGCCAGCCACUGCCCAAGGAGAUCCAUAGCUCAGGGUUUACAAUGUAGUAAUAAGAGAUGAAUCCCAGAAUUCCCUCAGGUAGGUGUUGGAGUAGGAUAGCUAAAGCAGAGGUUCCUUGACACAGAAGGAGUAGUUAAUGACAGUUGAGAUAAACUCAGGAAGGACAGUGGAUACCAUGGCUAGUAGAGAACUUGCCCAGGUGGCUCCAGCCAGCUGGACACACACAGCCUAGCCCAAAGUGCAGUGGGUGGCAAAUGGCCACAAAACUGUCAAUGGCCCUGUCUGACAAGAAGAGGAUGGAGGUGGAAUCCAGGAAAAAGUAGCAGUAGAAGUGGACCAUGCAGCCAGUAAAGGAGAUAAGAUGUUGAAGAUCAGCAGGUCUGAGAGCAUCUUGGGCAUCAC
rnacentral:lncRNA from 1 species